ACUUCAGGCUCGAUGAGUUAUGCUAGGCGUAGAGCUGAAUUCAUGGAUGAUAAUAGGAGGGAGCCUGGUAAGGUGGAGUUUUAUAAGAUGACUCACACCCACCGAGAUGGCAGUUUUGUUCGGGAGGAGUCAAGAAAUAUAGUUGACAGGGCAACAACUCUUAUUUCAGAGCGCGUCGGAGAGUCAUCAUCAUCCGAC